GUGAACCAGUACCGUGAGGGAAAGGCGAAAAGAACCCCGGCGAGGGGAGUGAAAAAGAACCUGAAACCGUGUACGUACAAGCAGUGGGAGCCUCUUUAUGGGGUGACUGCGUACCUUUUGUAUAAUGGGUCAGCGACUUAUAUUCUGUAGCAAGGUUAACCGAAUAGGGGAGCCGAAGGGAAACCGAGUCUUAACUGGGCGUUAAGUUGCAGGGUAUAGACCCGAAACCCGGUGAUCUAGCCAUGGGCAGGUUGAAGGUUGGGUAACACUAACUGGAGGACCGAACCGACUAAUGUUGAAAAAUUAGCGGAUGACUUGUGGCUGGGGGUGAAAGGCCAAUCAAACCGGGAGAUAGCUGGUUCUCCCCGAAAGCUAUUUAGGUAGCGCCUCGUGAAUUCAUCUCCGGGGGUAGAGCACUGUUUCGGCAAGGGGGUCAUCCCGACUUACCAACCCGAUGCAAACUGCGAAUACCGGAGAAUGUUAUCACGGGAGACACACGGCGGGUGCUAACGUCCGUCGUGAAGAGGGAAACAACCCAGACCGCCAGCUAAGGUCCCAAAGUCAUGGUUAAGUGGGAAACGAUGUGGGAAGGCCCAGACAGCCAGGAUGUUGGCUUAGAAGCAGCCAUCAUUUAAAGAAAGCGUAAUAGCUCACUGGUCGAGUCGGCCUGCGCGGAAGAUGUAACGGGGCUAAACCAUGCACCGAAGCUGCGGCAGCGACACUAUGUGUUGUUGGGUAGGGGAGCGUUCUGUAAGCCUGUGAAGGUGUGCUGUGAGGCAUGCUGGAGGUAUCAGAAGUGCGAAUGCUGACAUAAGUAACGAUAAAGCGGGUGAAAAGCCCGCUCGCCGGAAGACCAAGGGUUCCUGUCCAACGUUAAUCGGGGCAGGGUGAGUCGACCCCUAAGGCGAGGCCGAAAGGCGUAGUCGAUGGGAAACAGGUUAAUAUUCCUGUACUUGGUGUUACUGCGAAGGGGGGACGGAGAAGGCUAUGUUGGCCGGGCGACGGUUGUCCCGGUUUAAGCGUGUAGGCUGGUUUUCCAGGCAAAUCCGGAAAAUCAAGGCUGAGGCGUGAUGACGAGGCACUACGGUGCUGAAGCAACAAAUGCCCUGCUUCCAGGAAAAGCCUCUAAGCAUCAGGUAACAUCAAAUCGUACCCCAAACCGACACAGGUGGUCAGGUAGAGAAUACCAAGGCGCUUGAGAGAACUCGGGUGAAGGAACUAGGCAAAAUGGUGCCGUAACUUCGGGAGAAGGCACGCUGAUAUGUAGGUGAAGUCCCUCGCGGAUGGAGCUGAAAUCAGUCGAAGAUACCAGCUGGCUGCAACUGUUUAUUAAAAACACAGCACUGUGCAAACACGAAAGUGGACGUAUACGGUGUGACGCCUGCCCGGUGCCGGAAGGUUAAUUGAUGGGGUUAGCGGUAACGCGAAGCUCUUGAUCGAAGCCCCGGUAAACGGCGGCCGUAACUAUAACGGUCCUAAGGUAGCGAAAUUCCUUGUCGGGUAAGUUCCGACCUGCACGAAUGGCGUAAUGAUGGCCAGGCUGUCUCCACCCGAGACUCAGUGAAAUUGAACUCGCUGUGAAGAUGCAGUGUACCCGCGGCAAGACGGAAAGACCCCGUGAACCUUUACUAUAGCUUGACACUGAACAUUGAGCCUUGAUGUGUAGGAUAGGUGGGAGGCUUUGAAGUGUGGACGCCAGUCUGCAUGGAGCCGACCUUGAAAUACCACCCUUUAAUGUUUGAUGUUCUAACGUUGGCCCCUGAUCGGGGUUGCGGACAGUGUCUGGUGGGUAGUUUGACUGGGGCGGUCUCCUCCUAAAGAGUAACGGAGGAGCACGAAGGUUGGCUAAUCCUGGUCGGACAUCAGGAGGUUAGUGCAAUGGCAUAAGCCAGCUUGACUGCGAGCGUGACGGCGCGAGCAGGUGCGAAAGCAGGUCAUAGUGAUCCGGUGGUUCUGAAUGGAAGGGCCAUCGCUCAACGGAUAAAAGGUACUCCGGGGAUAACAGGCUGAUACCGCCCAAGAGUUCAUAUCGACGGCGGUGUUUGGCACCUCGAUGUCGGCUCAUCACAUCCUGGGGCUGAAGUAGGUCCCAAGGGUAUGGCUGUUCGCCAUUUAAAGUGGUACGCGAGCUGGGUUUAGAACGUCGUGAGACAGUUCGGUCCCUAUCUGCCGUGGGCGCUGGAGAACUGAGGGGGGCUGCUCCUAGUACGAGAGGACCGGAGUGGACGCAUCACUGGUGUUCGGGUUGUCAUGCCAAUGGCACUGCCCGGUAGCUAAAUGCGGAAGAGAUAAGUGCUGAAAGCAUCUAAGCACGAAACUUGCCCCGAGAUGAGUUCUCCCUGACUCCUUGAGAGUCCUGAAGGAACGUUGAAGACGACGACGUUGAUAGGCCGGGUGUGUAAGCGCAGCGAUGCGUUGAGCUAACCGGUACUAAUGAACCGUGAGGCUUAACCUU
rnacentral:rRNA from 1 species